AUUGAACGCUGGCGGCAUGCCUUACACAUGCAAGUCGUACGGUAACGCGGGGCAACCUGGCGACGAGUGGCGAACGGGUGAGUAAUGUAUCGGAACGUGCCCAGUUGUGGGGGAUAACUGCUCGAAAGAGCAGCUAAUACCGCAUACGACCUGAGGGUGAAAGCGGGGGAUCGCAAGACCUCGCGCAAUUGGAGCGGCCGAUAUCAGAUUAGGUAGUUGGUGGGGUAAAGGCUCGCCAAGCCAACGAUCUGUAGCUGGUCUGAGAGGACGACCAGCCACACUGGGACUGAGACACGGCCCAGACUCCUACGGGAGGCAGCAGUGGGGAAUUUUGGACAAUGGACGCAAGUCUGAUCCAGCCAUGCCGCGUGCGGGAAGAAGGCCUUCGGGUUGUAAACCGCUUUUGUCAGGGAAGAAACGCUCUGGGUUAAUACCUCGGGGUAAUGACGGUACCUGAAGAAUAAGCACCGGCUAACUACGUGCCAGCCGCCGCGGUAAGAC
rnacentral:rRNA from 1 species